rnacentral:rRNA from 1 species
UACGUAGGGUGCGAGCGUUAAUCGGAAUUACUGGGCGUAAAGCGCGCGCAGGCGGUGAUGUAAGACAGGUGUGAAAUCCCCGGGCUUAACCUGGGAACUGCAUUUGUGACUGCAUCGCUGGAGUGCGGCAGAGGGGGAUGGAAUUCCGCGUGUAGCAGUGAAAUGCGUAGAUAUGCGGAGGAACACCGAUGGCGAAGGCAAUCCCCUGGGCCUGCACUGACGCUCAUGCGCGAAAGCGUGGGGAGCAAACAGG